rnacentral:rRNA from 1 species
AUUGAACGCUGGCGGCAUGCCUUACACAUGCAAGUCGAACGGUAACGCGGGGCAACCUGGCGACGAGUGGCGAACGGGUGAGUAAAGCAUCGGAACGUGCCCAGUAGUGGGGGAUAGCCCGGCGAAAGCCGGAUUAAUACCGCAUACGACCUAAGGGUGAAAGGGGGGGAUCGCAAGACCUCUCGCUAUUGGAGCGGCCGAUGUCAGAUUAGCCAGUUGGUGGGGUAAAAGCUCACCAAGGCGACGAUCUGUAGCUGGUCUGAGAGGACGACCAGCCACACUGCGACGGAGACGCGGCACAGACUCCUACGGGAGGCAGCAGUGGAGAAUUUUGGACAAUGGACGAAAGUCUGAUCCAGCCAUGCCGCGUGCGGGAAGAAGGCCUUCGGGUUGUAAACCGCUUUUGUCAGGGAAGAAAUCCUUUGAGCUAAUACCUCGGGGGGAUGACGGUACCUGAAGAAUAAGCACCGGCUAACUACGUGCCAGCAGCCGCCGUAA